CUCUGGACAUUUAAAAAAAUCUGAAUAUUGCCUAUGGAUAUCCAUUCUAUUCAUUGCAGAAAAUGAAACAGUUGGUGAUGUUUCAGAGAACCCAACUCAAACUGACUUGAACAAGAAGUGGAUCUUCCCUCAGUUGAGCCAGGUGAAAAUACAGCUCCACUGGUUUGUAAAUGGUUUUAUACUAGCUUGUGGAAUGCAUUUUGUGCUACUGUGGACUUGAAAGAAUGAAUAUAUUUUUCCAACAGGCUUGCUGGCUACCAGGAAGUAGACGAAAUUGAUCUUAAACAACAAAGGGAUUAAUCUAAAAGAAAUCAGUGUUUACUGCAGAGAACACAGAAGCCAGCAAGCAGCAGGGAAGGGAGGCGAACCAAUGCAGCAGCCCACCGGGACCGAGGAGGACACACGCAGAGCAAGUCACAGGAAGCGCAGCUGAAAACAAAUGGACGCUUAUCCCAAAUGCACAGGACACUUACCAAGAACUGAUGGUCCGUCAAAGUAAAGCUCAACAGCUUUGGCUGGCAGGACAGUCAAACUUUUGGACGACAGAAAGUAACAGUGGGAAAUGGGACAACAUCUGCCAGCAACGCGAGAGGCCAAGACCAUGGCUGCUACAGGAGGGGUCAGCGUCACA
rnacentral:lncRNA from 1 species